rnacentral:misc_RNA from 1 species
GAUGAAGAACGUAGCGAAAUGCGAUAAGUAAUGUGAAUUGCAGAAUUCAGUGAAUCAUCGAAUCUUUGAACGCACAUUGCGCCCGCCGGCACUCCGGCGGGCAUGCCUGUCCGAGCGUCAUUUCAACCCUCAGGCCCGAACCCCCCCGGGGGGGGCGGGCCUGGUGUUGGGGCUCGGGGUCCGCGAGGCCCCCGUCCCCUAAAUCCAGUGGCGGUCGCGCCGCACCCUCCCCGGCGUAGUAGCACACCUCGCACCGGAGAGCAGCGCGUCCACGCCGUGAAACCCCCAACUUACCAAGGUUGACCUCGGAUCAGGUAGGAAUACCCGCUGAACUUAAGCAUAUCAAUAAGCGGAGGA